rnacentral:misc_RNA from 1 species
GAUGAAGAACGUAGCGAAAUGCGAUAAGUAGUGUGAAUUGCAGAAUUCAGUGAAUCAUCGAAUGUUUGAACGCACAUUGCGCCCCAUGGUAUUCCGUGGGGCAUGCCUGUUCGAGCGUCAUUUACCCCCUCAAGCACCGCUUGGUGUUGGGCGUCUGUCCCGCUUCGCGCGCGGACUCGCCCCAAAGGUAUUGGCAGCGGUCGUGCCAGCUUCUCGCGCAGCACAUUGCGCUUCUCGAGGCACCGGUGGGCCCGCGUCCAUCAAGCUCACCCCCCCAGUUUGACCUCGGAUCAGGUAGGGAUACCCGCUGAACUUAAGCAUAUCAAUAAGCGGAGGA